GAAGGGAGCUUGCUCCCGGAUGUUAGCGGCGGACGGGUGAGUAACACGUGGGUAACCUGCCUGUAAGACUGGGAUAACUCCGGGAAACCGGAGCUAAUACCGGAUAGUUCCUUGAACCGCAUGGUUCAAGGAUGAAAGACGGUUUCGGCUGUCACUUACAGAUGGACCCGCGGCGCAUUAGCUAGUUGGUGGGGUAAUGGCUCACCAAGGCGACGAUGCGUAGCCGACCUGAGAGGGUGAUCGGCCACACUGGGACUGAGACACGGCCCAGACUCCUACGGGAGGCAGCAGUAGGGAAUCUUCCGCAAUGGACGAAAGUCUGACGGAGCAACGCCGCGUGAGUGAUGAAGGUUUUCGGAUCGUAAAGCUCUGUUGUUAGGGAAGAACAAGUGCGAGAGUAACUGCUCGCACCUUGACGGUACCUAACCAGAAAGCCACGGCUAACUACGUGCCAGCAGCCGCGGUAAUACGUAGGUGGCAAGCGUUGUCCGGAAUUAUUGGGCGUAAAGGGCUCGCAGGCGGUUUCUUAAGUCUGAUGUGAAAGCCCCCGGCUCAACCGGGGAGGGUCAUUGGAAACUGGGAAACUUGAGUGCAGAAGAGGAGAGU
rnacentral:rRNA from 1 species